AUCGCCUCUUCUGGUGUUUUUUGUGGGUGAGCCCAGCAUAAGGUUUAAUCUGCAAGUAGAGUCCAGUGUCCUGACUAGAAGCUCUAUAUUUGAGGAAAAAACAUUCAACACAAAGAAGAAGGAACAGGUCUUUAGCAGAGGCCUGAGGCAACUUCAAAGCUUAUAAGACCACAGGGACGAGGCGUACCUGGACUUGACACCUCAUCACUGCAGCAGCUAAGCCGUUAGCUGGGUGGAUGGCGAAAGCGCAGCUCCGUGAAGCGCGAAGUCAAAAUCAGCACCAGCCUCAUUGCUCCUAGCACAGACAGCAACAGUCCUCAGAUGCCCCCUGGUGAUUUCCAGCUGCACUGCAACUCUUUCAUCUUGACUUAUGAAGAAUAAUUUUUAGGGAAGGAGAGGAAUCGCAAAGAAAGAGUUUGCAUGGCUAUGUUGCACUUUAUGUCCCACUGUGAAGUAGGGAGCACUCACUUCUCCCUCGGUAGACACAGCCCCGAAGAUAAAACGCACAGGUACAGCUUUACGUUUGAGGCUUCAAAGCAUAUCAGAAACAUUCUUGCUGGGAUCAUUCCAAUCCACAAUAAAGUCUCUUAACUCCUAAACCAUUUAAGAUGUAUUACGCUUUAUGAAAUAUCUGAGUAGAAAUAUCCUACAACUAAAAGUGUCAAGGAGUACAAGUACUGACUAAAUCAGCAUUCUUAAGUACUAUACUCAGAGACAACCUGAAAAUAUUCAGUGCCCUCUUGUGGCUUACGUUAAGAAAGAAGAAAAAAUCAUAAAAGGAACUACUGAAGUUUGAACAGUCUCACAGCUGAGGUGGCACAUCCAUCACAUCUUCCGCAACACUGGUGCCACAAACAUGACCCUGGAGAAAGGCCUGUUGAAAGACCCAGAGCAUGUGAGGAGAGGCUGAGAGCUGGGACUGUUCAGCCAGUGGAAGAGGAGGCUGAGGGGUCCCAGCUA